rnacentral:lncRNA from 1 species
GGCCCACACUCAGACCUUUGUCACCAUCUCAAGGACCUUUUUUUCCCUCUUCCUCCUUUCACGCUGGAGCCAGACCCGGCACGCAGCUGACCUGCCGGGGCCUUGAAUCAACAUAAAGCCCUUCACCCCUAGCCUGCUCCUGUCUCAACCUCAGCCUCCAGAGAACAUCCAUCCUCCAUGGAGCCUCCCAGCCUGAGCCCUCUGAGCUGCCUCCCUUCUUCUCUCCCCUCAGCCCAG